rnacentral:rRNA from 1 species
UCGAGCGAACAGACGAGGAGCUUGCUCCUCUGACGUUAGCGGCGGACGGGUGAGUAACACGUGGAUAACCUACCUAUAAGACUGGGAUAACUUCGGGAAACCGGAGCUAAUACCGGAUAACAUGUUGAACCGCAUGGUUCAACAGUGAAAGACGGUCUUGCUGUCACUUAUAGAUGGAUCCGCGCCGCAUUAGCUAGUUGGUAAGGUAACGGCUUACCAAGGCAACGAUGCGUAGCCGACCUGAGAGGGUGAUCGGCCACACUGGAACUGAGACACGGUCCAGACUCCUACGGGAGGCAGCAGUAGGGAAUCUUCCGCAAUGGGCGAAAGCCUGACGGAGCAACGCCGCGUGAGUGAAGAAGGUCUUCGGAUCGUAAAACUCUGUUAUUAGGGAAGAACAAAUGUGUAAGUAACUAUGCACGUCUUGACGGUACCUAAUCAGAAAGCCACGGCUAACUACGUGCCAGCAGCCGCGGUAAUACGUAGGUGGCAAGCGUUAUCCGGAAUUAUUGGGCGUAAAGCGCGCGUAGGCGGUUUUUUAAGUCUGAUGUGAAAGCCCACGGCUCAACCGUGGAGGGUCAUUGGAAACUGGAAAACUUGAGUGCAGAAGAGGAAAGUGGAAUUCCAUGUGUAGCGGUGAAAUGCGCAGAGAUAUGGAGGAACACCAGUGGCGAAGGCGACUUUCUGGUCUGUAACUGACGCUGAUGUGCGAAAGCGUGGGGAUCAAACAGGAUUAGAUACCCUGGUAGUCCACGCCGUAAACGAUGAGUGCUAAGUGUUAGGGGGUUUCCGCCCCUUAGUGCUGCAGCUAACGCAUUAAGCACUCCGCCUGGGGAGUACGACCGCAAGGUUGAAACUCAAAGGAAUUGACGGGGACCCGCACAAGCGGUGGAGCAUGUGGUUUAAUUCGAAGCAACGCGAAGAACCCUUACCAAAUCUUGACAUCCUCUGACCCCUCUAGAGAUAGAGUUUUCCCCUUCGGGGGACAGAGUGACAGGUGUGCAUGAUGUCGUCAGCUCGUGUCGUGAGAUGGUGGGUAGGUCCCGCACGAGC